CUUUAACAGGAACACAGCAAUGUGCCAAAGGUCAACCGUGUGUCUGCAACAUCAGCCUCAUUACUCAAGCUACACAAUGGGUGGGCCAAGAUGCCUUCAUGCAUGCUUUGUGUUAAUUAUUGUGGAAAAUGCUACUGUAAAGCUGAUUUGUAAAGACCGACUUUGCACAGCCCUAACUCUGUGUGUGCAACCCUAAUAGCGUUCAGCAGCCUCAUCUCAUCAGCGAUGGUUCUCCAGAGACGUGGAAUACUUCUGAAGACCACUACUCCUGGAGGGAAGUAUAGCGCAAGGACUGCUGGACAAGCGUCAUACCCUCAGGAACAUCACCCUCUGCAACCUUGGACAUUGGCACGUUUUUACCAGAGAGACCCAGUGUUUGCCUGAAGAAUGAUGUCAUUGCUCCGUUUGUUUGGCUGCUGCAGUGACCCUUUGGCCUUUACAAGGACAGUCACCUACAGCCCUCAGCCCCGAUAUGAAGAGCCUGGCUGUUUAACCCCACUGGAAGAAAUGCCCCUGUAUUUUUGGCUUCACAGCAGAGUCUGCAGACAAGUACAUCAGGUUUGUGUUUUACUGAAGAUUAUUCAGAGCCACAUGCUGGGCCCUGCCAUCUGCUGAAUUCGGAUACAAUGCCUGUAAAGUUUAAAAUAGACCAAAUGAAACUCUGACUUCGGGAGAGAAACUGCCAAUGCCUUUGGAACUACAACUGUCUCUCACAGAAAACUACCUGUUCUGUUUCAUGAAAGAUGUACCCUUUCUAUACAAAAGUAAGACAAGGUUAAAUUCCAGUACUCAGAGCUUGAUUUUACCUCAGGUCCCUGUUAAAAUGCCUCAAUUUUGAUUGGAGAAGGGCCUGAGAAACCUGGUCUAAUAAGACCUGCUUUGAGUGGGUUUGGAUUAAAAUUAUAAAAUCUCUGCCAAUGCAUGAACAUGGGAGUAUCGUUCUUUGUCAAAUCUAGUGAGGAAAGGUAGAUCUGCCAAUCAGGAAAACAAACAGUGGGACACAGAAAGAAGAGACUAUUAACAGAGUCUUUAUAGAAAGGCUGUUUAUUUUGUGAAAAGUUUGAUUGUAAAUAAAUUUAGUUUCAAAAAACCCAAAAACCAAAAACCAACCAACCAACCAACCAAGAAAACACCAAAACCAAAAAGAAAAAAAAAACAAAACAAACAAACAAAAAAAACCAAAAACCCCAAAAAAAACCACCCCAAAAAACCAAAGCAAACCAAAGCAAACCAAACCAACAAACAAACCAACAAACAAACCACAAAAAAAACCACCCCACCAAACAAUUCAGCCUGUAUCCAGACAAAUUGCUGCUGAAAUACCCAAUCUGGUGAUUCACAGCUCCUCACUACAGGAAGGAAGGCUUUUCUGUCUUCAAAUGCAGUGCCUUCUCAGUAAGACAUUGAUGCCUACUGGAGUUAGAAAAUCCUCUUGGGCUUCUAACCUAGUAGAGACCUGCCAGCUUAUGCCCUGUGUUCUGCCAGCAUCAUGCUCCUUUUGGACAUGCUUUGGAAACAAAUGUAGUAUUUGUUGAAGUUAGUAACUCCCCUGAACUGUCUUGGACAAUAAAGCCUUGGGUCCUGCGGAUGGCCCAUCAAUGGUGCUGCAUUGAAGAAGUCUCCAAACUCUUGGGAACAAACCAACACUCAAGCAAAUCCAUACUGUUUGUUUCAAAAAUAGUCACUAAGCUUGUUUUAAAGGGAAAGAAACCAAGUUCUAAAGGCCACAUUUCAGGGAGCUAAUACCAUACUUUGAACUUCUGUAGUCUGAGAU